rnacentral:rRNA from 1 species
CCUCGAAUCAGGUAGGACUACCCGC